CCGAGCCAGGUGUGGGAUAUAAUCUCGUGGUGCGCCAUUUUUCAAGCCCGUCAGAAAAGCGCAGUAUUCGGGUGGGAGUGACCCGAUUUUCCAGGAGUCCUAACCUAAAAUAAAAUAGAACAUACUGUGCUUAAAGCAAGGGGGGAAUCAUGUAACAAUAAAACCAGUGAAGAAAAUUCUAAUGCUCAGGUAAGGCCUCAGAAAAAGUGGAAAACAGCUGGUCCUCAGGAUCCUCCAGCCUUUGCCAAGGAAAAGUGGUUUUAAUCACUGAAGAAUGAGGCUUCAACAUAUGGAAAGACUGUAAGUGUCUUGACACUGAAAUUUUCUCUUGUAGGUGUUCCUGGACAGCAAGUGAGUGACUUGCUCACAGGCGGUAAUUCAGGGACCCAGGUUUCUUCUACCUGGUAGCUCUACUGUCCUUCAGAACCUCAGAGCCCUGUGCAUUCAGCCAGCAGGAGAAAGACCACUACUAAGGUCAUUCACUUUGGGAGAAGCCAGUCUUCAUGCCAUGAGGACGUUCAGGCAGCCCUGUGGAGAGAACCACAUGGAAAGGAUCUGAGGUCUCUCACCAGCACCAAUUUGCCAGCUAUGGGAAUGGGCCACCUUGGAAGGAGACUGUCCAGCCCAAGUGAAGGCUGCAGAUAACUGCAGCUUUGGCCAACAUUUGGCUAUAUUGCUUUGGGAAAUCUCAAGCCAGAACCAUCUGGCCAAGCUGCUCUUAAAUUCCUGAUC